rnacentral:rRNA from 1 species
GACGUAGGGCGCGAGCGUUGUCCGGAUUUAUUGGGCGUAAAGAGCUCGUAGGCGGCUUGUCACGUCGGGUGUGAAAGCCCGGGGCUUAACCCCGGGUCUGCAUUCGAUACGGGCAGGCUAGAGUGUGGUAGGGGGAGAUCGGAAUUCCUGGUGUAGCGGUGAAAAUGCGCAGAUAUCAGGAGGAACACCGGUGGCGAAGGCGGGUCUCUGGGCAACAACUGACGCUGAGGAGCGAAAGCGUGGGGGAGCGAACAGG